GUUGUUUAGACGGAUCUGUAACUUUGCCGUAGUUUGGCUUUGGUGUAAUAAAACAAAAUGUUUUUUUCUGGUUUCAAACAUAUAUGAAGUAUUAAAAACUUAUAACAGAAUUUGAUUUUGUUUAUAUCAGUCUCUAAGUUACAGUUUUAUCUUUUUUGUGGCGUUCCUGCGCCCGAGGUAACCAAUUUUGUCAAAUAAUUGUGGCAUCCCUGCUAUUUGGGUGACCCAUGCGUACAUUUGUUAAGAGUUCCUGCUCAUGAGGUCACCCAUUAUGCCAACUAUUGGUGGCGUCCCUGCCAUUCAGGUAGCCUGAACAAUAUACUUGCCUUUAUAUAUUUUAAAUUAUUAUAACUUUGUCCCGGUAGAAGAUUAUCCAACAGUACACGGC
rnacentral:lncRNA from 1 species